rnacentral:rRNA from 1 species
UACGUAGGGGGCAAGCGUUAUCCGGAUUUACUGGGUGUAAAGGGAGCGUAGACGGUGAUGCAAGUCAGAAGUGAAAGCCCGGGGCUCAACUCCGGGACUGCUUUUGAAACUGUGUAACUGGAGUGCAGGAGAGGUAAGCGGAAUUCCUGGUGUAGCGGUGAAAUGCGUAGAUAUCAGGAGGAACACCAGUGGCGAAAGCGGCUUACUGGACUGUAACUGACGUUGAGGCUCGAAAGCGUGGGGAGCAAACAGG